UACGGGGGGGGGCAAGCGUUGUUCGGAAUUACUGGGCGUAAAGGGCUCGUAGGUGGCCAACUAAGUCAGACGUGAAAUCCCUCGGCUUAACCGGGGAACUGCGUCUGAUACUGGAUGGCUUGAGUUCGGGAGAGGGAUGCGGAAUUCCAGGUGUAGCGGUGAAAUGCGUAGAUAUCUGGAGGAACACCGGUGGCGAAGGCGGCAUCCUGGACCGAUACUGACGCUGAGGCGCGAAAGCGUGGGGAGCAAACAGG
rnacentral:rRNA from 1 species